GAAAAGGAUUAUAUGUGAGGAAAUGGAUGGAUAACCCCAUUGCUUUCAUAGGUUUGUUGGUAGUGCUUAUUGCUGAAUUGGGAUCAAGUGACAUUUAAUAAGGCCAGUCUUGAACAUUACUGAAUUGUACCUGUGAAAAGGAAGUUGGAGUCUGCAGUGGCUGGACCAAGAAACAGGCCUGUCAGAUCCUGGGAGGAACUACUCCUCCCUGCAUGCCAUCCUCGCAGCUCUGCAGAGUGUCUCCAUUCGCUGCCUGAAGAGGACAUGGGACAGAGUUUCCAGGAGCGGCCCUCAAAUAAACUUGCCACCCUGGUGAGGAAGCUGCAGAGAGCACGGCAUGGGCUGCCAAAGAAGGGGAAUGAGAUCAACUACUCCAAAAAGAAUAAGCCCACGAGUAUGCUUUGGUGGUUCUACUUCCUACAGUACUGUGCAACAUGUAGAGACUCUCUUAUUGCUUUCUGAAUCCAAAAAUCUUAGAGUCAUCAGGUUUUCAAAAUGGCAGGUAGAGGAAGGGCCAGCCCUUCUCACUACCUACAGGUGGCAUCUCCAAAUCCUCUUUCCUCAGAGGACAGGUUUAUUUCAGUGUCAGGCAUCUGAGCCAACAGCAGAGACAGCCCUCAGGACUCCUUUGAUGGAGAGGUUGCAGGUCCUUUCCCAGGAAGGCAACACUGAACUGGAGAGUCCAUGAGCAUGACUUACACUCUCCAGAGAAAUGUGUGGUGCCAAGGAGAGGGGCUGUUUUUCUCCCCUCUAAAUCAAGGAGGACUACGUCUUUUUUCCUUUGGGAUAUGGUGUUUGUGCUUGUGUUUGUGUUAGUUUGGACCCAGUAUUUGGAACUGACAGUUGUCGAGUUCAGUCUCUGGAAUUGCAUCAGCACUAAGUGGGGAAAAACAUGUAAAGAGAUCCAGUCCCAAUUGUGGCAGGUAGGACAUUCUGGACACAUUUUCCCUUUAAGCUCUCCAGUUUCAUGCUUUACGAAGAAUGGAAUCCUCCUGGGAUGGUUAUCUAUGAUCUCUGGAUUCCAUUUCCCUGCUCUUUAUGGAUCUGCUGGGGAAAAUAAGAAACCGGGAGGUGUACAUUUGGGGCUGCGCUGGGCCUGGCUCUAUUCACAUCUAUGCUGACCUAGGAGCUAGGAUGUCCAGCCUUCCUGCAUUUUCUUACACAGUUCCUGAUAAGGCAGCAGAGCCCUCCAGGCCCCAGCCUCUUAGUCAGGUCCAUGGUAGCCACUGCUCCCUGCUGGGGACUGAUGGAGCAGAGAUUGGUUCAGUUUUACCAGGAUAAAUGUUCAUAUGUUGACCAGAGAUUCCCACACUCUACUUGCUGGCCAAGGAGACUGUUAAGUCCAAGUGGUUCUGAAGUCCCUGGUCUCCAACAUCGACCAUGUGACACCCCCAUGUUCCACUCACUUGUCUGAAAUAGGGAUCUCACCUGACCCAGUAGACCAAAACACAGAUGUAAACUAGGCAGAGGGGAAGCAUCUGUCAUGCAAAUGGAUGCCAAAGGAAGCAAGGGUAGGAAUACCUCUAUCCAGAGAAAACAGACUCUUAAGAAAAAAGGGGGUUGGUAGGAUAACACAAAGAAGGAAAUGGAGGCCCCGCAAUGGCACCAAUGGAACAGUAAUACAGAGGAGGUUCUCCUGACACCUGCUUCAGGAUCCCAACUCACUGAGCAAGAGUGAAGAAACCCCA
rnacentral:lncRNA from 1 species